rnacentral:rRNA from 1 species
UACGGGAGGCAGCAGUGGGGAAUAUUGCACAAUGGGCGCAAGCCUGAUGCAGCCAUGCCGCGUGUAUGAAGAAGGCCUUCGGGUUGUAAAGUACUUUCAGCAGUGAGGAAGGUGGGUAUGUUAAUAGCAUAUUCAUUUGACGUUAGCUGCAGAAGAAGCACCGGCUAACUCCGUGCCAGCAGCCGCGGUAAUACGGAGGGUGCGAGCGUUAAUCGGAAUUACUGGGCGUAAAGCGCAUGCAGGUGGUUUGUUAAGUCAGAUGUGAAAGCCCGGGGCUCAACCUCGGAAUUGCAUUUGAAACUGGCAAACUAGAGUACUGUAGAGGGGGUAGAAUUUCAGGUGUAGCGGUGAAAAUGCGUAGAGAUCUGAAGGAAUACCGGUGGCGAAGGCGGCCCCCUGGACAGAUACUGACACUCAGAUGCGAAAGCGUGGGGAGCAAACAGGAUUAGAUACCCUGGUAG